UACGUAGGGGGCAAGCGUUGUCCGGAAUCAUUGGGCGUAAAGCGCGUGUAGGCGGCCAGAAAAGUCCGCUGUGAAAACUCGAGGCUCAACCUCGAGCUGUCGGUGGAAACUUUCUGGCUAGAGUCCGGAAGAGGAGAAUGGAAUUCCUGGUGUAGCGGUGAAAUGCGCAGAUAUCAGGAAGAACACCCGUGGCGAAGGCGGUUCUCUGGGACGGUACUGACGCUGAGGCACGAAAGCGUGGGGAGCAAACAGG
rnacentral:rRNA from 1 species